UCGGAUUGUAGGCUGCAACUCGCCUACAUGAAGUUGGAAUCGCUAGUAAUCGCGAAUCAGAAUGUCGCGGUGAAUACGUUCCCGGGUCUUGUACACACCGCCCGUCACACCACGAGAGUUUACAACACCCGAAGUCAGUGGCCUAACCGCAAGGAGGGAGCUGCCUAAGGUGGGGUAGAUGAUUGGGGUGAAGUCGUAACAAGGUAGC
rnacentral:rRNA from 1 species